UGCAAGUCGAACGGAAAGGCCCUGCUUUUGUGGGGUGCUCGAGUGGCGAACGGGUGAGUAACACGUGAGUAACCUGCCCUUGACUUUGGGAUAACUUCAGGAAACUGGGGCUAAUACCGGAUAGGAGCUCCUGCUGCAUGGUGGGGGUUGGAAAGUUUCGGCGGUUGGGGAUGGACUCGCGGCUUAUCAGCUUGUUGGUGGGGUAGUGGCUUACCAAGGCUUUGACGGGUAGCCGGCCUGAGAGGGUGACCGGCCACAUUGGGACUGAGAUACGGCCCAGACUCCUACGGGAGGCAGCAGUGGGGAAUAUUGCACAAUGGGCGGAAGCCUGAUGCAGCAACGCCGCGUGCGGGAUGACGGCCUUCGGGUUGUAAACCGCUUUCGCCUGUGACGAAGCGUGAGUGACGGUAAUGGGUAAAGAAGCACCGGCUAACUACGUGCCAGCAGCCGCGGUGAUGCGUAGGGUGCGAGCGUUGUCCGGAUUUAUUGGGCGUAAAGGGCUCGUAGGUGGUUGAUCGCGUCGGAAGUGUAAUCUUGGGGCUUAACCCUGAGCGUGCUUUCGAUACGGGUUGACUUGAGGAAGGUAGGGGAGAAUGGAAUUCCUGGUGGAGCGGUGGAAUGCGCAGAUAUCAGGAGGAACACCAGUGGCGAAGGCGGUUCUCUGGGCCUUUCCUGACGCUGAGGAGCGAAAGCGUGGGGAGCGAACAGGCUUAGAUACCCUGGUAGUCCACGCUGUAAACGGUGGGUACUAGGUGUGGGGUCCAUUCCACGGGUUCCGUGCCGUAGCUAACGCUUUAAGUACCCCGCCUGGGGAGUACGGCCGCAAGGCUAAAACUCAAAGGAAUUGACGGGGCCCCGCACAAGCGGCGGAGCAUGCGGAUUAAUUCGAUGCAACGCGUAGAACCUUACCUGGGUUUGAC
rnacentral:rRNA from 1 species